rnacentral:misc_RNA from 1 species
AAAAGUCGUAACAAGGUUUCCGUAGGUGAACCUGCGGAAGGAUCAUUAGCAAGUGCCGCACCAUGGAUUGCCGACAGGCGAUCCAUGUGUGCUGGACUACAUUUGUAACCAUGUGCGAAAGUGGGUGUUCCCUGGUCGAUGACUGGGGAGCACCACCACGACACGCUGGAUAGCCAAAUCAUAUACAAACAAAACCAAAAGAAACUUUUAACAAUGGAUCUCUUGGCUCUU